GACGAACGCUGGCGGCGUGCUUAACACAUGCAAGUCGAACGAUGAACCCGGAGCUUGCUCUGGGGGAUUAGUGGCGAACGGGUGAGUAACACGUGAGUAACCUGCCCUGGACUCUGGGAUAAGCGUUGGAAACGACGUCUAAUACCGGAUAGGACCUUGGAUCGCAUGAUCUGGGGUGGAAAGUUUUUUCGGUCUGGGAUGGACUCGCGGCCUAUCAGCUUGUUGGUGAGGUAAUGGCUCACCAAGGCGUCGACGGGUAGCCGGCCUGAGGGGGUGACCGGCCAAACUGGGACUGAGACAAGGCCCAGACGCCUCCGGGAGGCAGCAGUGGGGAAUAUUGCACAAUGGGCGAAAGCCUGAAGCAGCAACGCCGCGUGCGGGAUGACGGCCUUCGGGUUGUAAACCGCGUUAAGUAGGGAAGAAGGGCUUCGGCUUGACGGUACCUGCAGAAAAAGGACCGGCUAACUACGUG
rnacentral:rRNA from 1 species